rnacentral:rRNA from 1 species
UACAGAGGGUGCAAGCGUUGUUCGGAAUUAUUGGGCGUAAAGGGCGCGUAGGCGGUGCGGUAAGUCACCUGUGAAAUCUCCUGGCUCAACUGGGAGCUUGCAGGCGAAACUGCCGUGCUGGAGUGUGGGAGAGGUGCGUGGAAUUCCUGGUGUAGCGGUGAAAUGCGUAGAUAUUGGGAGGAACACCAGUGGCGAAGGCGGCUCACUGGACCGGAACUGACGCUGAUGCGCGAAAGCGUGGGGAGCAAACGGG